rnacentral:rRNA from 1 species
GUAGGUGGCAAGCGUUGUCCGGAAUUAUUGGGCGUAAAGCGCGCGCAGGCGGUUCUUUAAGUCUGAUGUGAAAGCCCACGGGCUCAACCGUGGAGGGUCAUUGGAAACUGGAGAACUUGAGUACAGAAGAGGUAAGCGGAAUUCCACGUGUAGCGGUGAAAUGCGUAGAGAUGUGGAGGAACACCAGUGGCGAAGGCGGCUUUCUGGUCUGUAACUGACGCUGAGGCGCGAAAGCGUGGGGAGCAAACAGGAUUAGAUACCCUGGUAGUCCACGCCGUAAACGAUGAGUGCUAAGUGUUAGGGGGUUUCCGCCCCUUAGUGCUGCAGCUAACGCAUUAAGCACUCCGCCUGGGGAGUACGGCCGCAAGGCUG